rnacentral:rRNA from 1 species
GUGGGGAAUAUUGCGCAAUGGGCGAAAGCCUGACGCAGCCACGCCGCGUGGGUGAUGAAGGCCUUCGGGUUGUAAAGCCCUGUCGGGAGGGACGAAGUUCUGACGGUACCUCCCAAGAAAGCACCGGCUAACCCCGUGCCAGCAGCCGCGGUAAUACGGGGGGUGCAAGCGUUGCUCGGAAUUAUUGGGCGUAAAGCGUACGCAGGCGGCUCGCCAAGUCGAGUGUGAAAUCCCGGGGCUCAACCCCGGACUUGCAUUCGAAACUGACGAGCUUGAGUGCGGGAGAGGGAAGCGGAAUUCCUGGUGUAGAGGUGAAAUUCGUAGAUAUCAGGAGGAACACCGGUGGCGAAAGCGGCUUCCUGGCCCGAUACUGACGCUCAUGUACGAAAGCGUGGGGAGCAAACAGGAUUAGAAACCCCAGUAGUCC